rnacentral:rRNA from 1 species
GACGAACGCUGGCGGCAUGCCUAAUACAUGCAAGUCGAGCGAACAGAUGAAGUGCUUGCACUUCUGACGUUAGCGGCGAACGGGUGAGUAACACGUAAGGAAUCUACCUAUAAGCGGGGGAUAACAUUCGGAAACGGGUGCUAAUACCGCAUAAUAUCUUCUUCCGCAUGGAAGAAGAUUGAAAGACGGCUCUGCUGUCACUUAUAGAUGACCUUGCGGUGCAUUAGUUAGUUGGUGUGGUAACGGCCUACCAAGACGAUGAUGCAUAGCCGACCUGAGGGGGUGAUCGGCCACAUUGGGACUGAGACACGGCCCAAACUCCUACGGGAGGCAGCAGUAGGCAAGCUUCCGCACAGGGCGAAAGCCUGACGGAGCAAUGCCGCGUGAGUGAAGAAGGCCUUCGGGUCGUAAAACUCUGUUAUAAGAGAAGAACAAAUUGUAGAGUAACUGCUACAGUCUUGACGGUAUCUUAUCAGAAAGCCACGGCUAACUACGUGCCAGCCGCCGCGGUAA